UGUGACUUUACAGGUUUGAUCUUUGUGAUUGUCCAACUGUGUGUUGAGUCUGUCCUUCGUGAUCUGCGUGGUCUUUAAGGAUUGUUAGAUCUUAGUGAUCUAUGUGUUCUAUGUGUGUUCUACUGGUUGCUUUAUCUUGUGUGAUUUGCAGGUGUUUGGACACGGUUAGUUUACACGGUGAUCUGUGUGAUCGGAGCUUACUUUGUGUUUGCUCACUUGUUUCCCUUGUAUUGUCUGUGUGAUUUUACAGGGAUCUCGGCAAUGAUGAAUCCCAUUGUCCUUCUCGUUUGUGCACCACGAUUGGGCCAAAGGUGGAGAUUGUUAGUCUUAUUUGGCCCAACUCCAUGGAAGCCCAAACCCACACACCAAAGCCCAUCCUGGCAGGCCCAUAUCCUAGCCUACUUAAGCCCCUUAGCCCUAAUUGCUAAAGGAGGGAAAAAGAGUGCAGAGAAAGCUGCGUGAGUUUGGAAUUGGAAAGGUCAUCUUCUCUUAGUGAGAUAGAGUGAGAAGUGCAGUUGAGUGUGAGAGAGAAGACGAUUGUUGUCGCUGUUCUUGUGUGAUCGAGCGAACCGUGUUCUCUAUCUCUCCAUUCGCCUUCCUCACGUGGAUCGAACAAGAAGCUUCGUGUCUUGCUUGUUCUCCCCCUGUUUCGUGUCUUCCCGACGCAGCCACUGUGAGGAGCCGCCGGAGAGGGUCAAGGGUGUCGUGGGUGCGUGGAGCUACCGAAGUUUGUUGUGGUGCAAGUUGCUGUGCGCUUUGAGAAGGAAACGGGACUGAGCCGAAGCUUUGCCCCCUGCUGCUCGUGCUUCUACAGCUGGAGCUGGAACGCCGCCGCCGCCGCCGCGCAGCUGCUCCCAGGGAAGUCACCGCUGCUGCGUCGUCUCGCCAGCUGCCGCUGCUGCGUCGUCUCGCCAGCUGCCGCACUGCUGCUGUCACGCUCCUGCUGUUGCUGCUGCUCUCUCCCUCCAAAGCUUGAAGAGCUCGUUGGAUUCGUGCUAACGAGUACGAGGACGACGACGUGCCGCGAUAAUACCCAACAAAUAUAAUACUAACAUUCAAUAUGUUAUUAAUAUAAUGAAUGAAGUGUGAUCACGAUUUAUAUGACAAAUCGCUAAGAAUUAUUAGCUACUGCUUAAUAAUGCAUACGAAAUUUA
rnacentral:lncRNA from 1 species